UUUUGGGAGAGCAGAUCUCUUCCCUAAGCAGUGGUGUUACAGCUCUUAUGACAGAAGCUCUCAGAUAAUGGAAUAAUUCCUGCACACCUUUAAUUCUGAACAGGACACAGGAUACAGUUUUUUUGGAUGGGUCAGUGUCUGAUAGCAGGUACUUCCUAUUGGUUUGCCCUGAGAGCUUGGGAAGGCCUCGUGUUCAUAUUCGGGGUCUCGGUCCUGUUUCUACAACUGAUCUGUUUUGAGCCUACAUAUUAUGUGCUCACGUCCUAACCUAUGGAGGAGGGACUUGGGGUGUUGCCCUACAUGAUUAUUCUGUCUCAAACCUCUCUACAGGAGUCUGUGUGUAUGUGUGGUGGGGUGCAGCUACAUGAGGCCCUGAUAUCCUGGGAGAAGGAGAAUGCACCUACCGUCCCUUUUAGGGUCUUCCGGGUAUUUGACCUAUCUCAACCAGGAAUCAGGGUACCUUUCACUGCCUGUCGCCCCACAAUUGGUAACAAUUUUCUAGUUCCUAUUUGACUGUUUUGAAAUUUCAUAAAAUAUGAAACAUAUUUUAUCUUUAAAAACCUAGUAAAGUGAAGAAAACGUUGUUUAUGGUAUAAUAGCAUAAGAAUUAAUUUAAAAUUGUAUCACUUUUUCCGUGCUUAGAUUUUUCCAUAGCAGGUUGUAGACAUGGGGCAGAUUCUUGGCUGCCUCUGUGUGACAUUGGAUCAUGUGAGGAGGAGUCUUCCCUGGCACCAUUUCUUUCUAUCACCUUUACUGAGGUGGACUGAGCAGCUAUGCCAGGUCACCUCAGAUCAGUGAUGACUGUUUUGUCAUAAGCCUAACUUUGUGAUGUUGGCUUCUUCUAUAGAGAGACUGUGUAUGACUGAGAUGCAGGAGAAGGCAGAAGUGAGCCACUGGACCUAAGGCAUUCUUUGAGGCAACAGCUACAACAUAUGCAGAUUCCUAGGAGAGGAAAUAAGAUGUUGAAAAGGUGGCUUUCUUCAAAGGCACCAGGAGCAUUAGUGUCAUGUCUGAAGCACCCAUUUGUGUCAACGGUACAGACCUGCCAAUGGAAAAUUGUGCCAUGUUACCUUUCAGAGUACAAAAUGCUAAUUUGGGAUUUACAGUUUUUGAACUGGAGGGCUGCAUUUCGCAUGGGAUUUUGUUUAAUUUCCCAGUGAAAAAAAAAAGGCAUUUGAAACACAACUGCCUACAGCCAACUGUCAACAAAAAUCAACCGUAAUAGCACAGAGCCUGUCACCAACAUGUGUGGCGAUGUGGUAAUCUUCUCAAUUUAGCCGGAUAUUUCUUCUCUUCACAGAAUAGCAGAGAGUCUUGCUCGGCAUUUAUGAAUAUCAGAGGUGUUAUUAGGCCGAUAAUGGGACCAGAUUAAGGUAGUGUACACUGGUUCAAUGUGUCAGUUAAAGAGACACAUAAUGAGACAGUCCACGGUGCUCCAUAGAAGGACUCUGUCAUUCAGGUUUGCUCCAGAUUUGGAUGAUAACAUGCUGGGUUCCAUCUGCUGUGGCUUUCUGGAAGAAAAUGAAGAUGUUAUGACGUCCCCGCCCAGAAAUCUGUUUUUGUUUAUCAAGAAAAUAAAAUGAAAAAAAAAAUCUCUGAAAA